rnacentral:lncRNA from 1 species
GCUUUCAGAUAAGUUAUCCAUUACUGGACCCAGUGUCUGCCUUUGGGGACUAACCACAUGUUUUUAGCAAGGUAAGAUUCCCACCAGGUUGCCCCACUCUUCUUUUGUACUCCCUACCUGCCCUUCUCUCAAUUCUUGGUGACUCACUUCAGCCUACUAUUCUGUAAAUGACCACUCCAAAAAAAUAAUAAUUCCACAGUCCAAAAAUUUUACAAUCCAGAAAAACAACUGGUGAUGUAAGAGGAAGAAGAUAGGGUGUCCAAAGAGGAGGAAGAGAGACCCUAAUCAACCCCUCCUUUGAUAACAAAGUGACCUUAUACCAAAUAAAUGCCUGCUCUCCUGUUGAAGUGGUUGUUUUAUCUCUGGGCAUCUGAUUUCACCCACUUCUUGGACCAGCAGAUGCAUUUCCUGUUGCAGUGAGUUAGCAGCUCCUCAUAAGUACCACCAUCUUCCUACCCAUGGAUUUUUGAACAACUCACUAGUGGGGAUAGAUACUGGAACUGUGAUUUCUUAGGUAUAGGAAACCCUCAGGUGAGGAAACUCUAGGAACACUGGCCAUUCAUCACCUAGUCUUAAGAGUUACCUAGUGCACCAAGAUUUGCAACUACUUUACCUAGUGCACCAAGAUUUGCCACUACCUUACCUAGUGUACCAAGAUUUGCCACUACCAGCCAGUAGGUGUUAAAUAGCAAAACUUAGAACCAAGUCCUUCAGGGCUGGAAGCCAGCUCUCUCUCCAUUAGGCCUGGAGGUUCUCCAUAUGCUAAGCCACACUGGCUCUCAGUACUCUUUCCUACUUACUAAGAAAACUUGUACUAUCUAACCCCAGACAAUCAUUGUGAGAAAACUGCUUGUUAUCCCUUAAAGCCAGAGUGCAGAAACACCAACUAUAAUCAUUAUUCUAGGCUGUGUAGAUUUGGGGGAGGGGUGGAGGUUUAUGGGAAAGUCCUGUUCCCACCUUUUCACUUUAAACUUGAACCAUCUAAUCCUUUUCUUCAGACCUGGAGGAGGUCGGGGUGGAGAAGUGGAGAAGAGAAGGUGAGGAGGAGGAAGAGGAGGACUAGGAGGAAACAUCAGAAAAAUGAACUGUUGUGGAAACUACGCUUUGAGAGAUUAAAGGAAUUGCCUAUGGCACCCCGAGCUGGUGCUGGAGCUGAGAUUCCUGGGAUUCAUGAAGGUGGUUUGCUGAAUGAAGUCCAAGGGAGAGGCCAACAGUCUGGAUUUGGAGAAACUCAACUCCCUUUUGACUACACUGACCUGACUCCCAGAAGAAAGCAGAUAAGGGCAAAGUACAAGUACAGGGUAUCUGGAACCAUAUCCUUCAGGGCACAAGAUACCAAGGUCUGAAUUCUAAUUCUAUUCCUGAAUCCAAGAUUAAUGAAGAAACAGGUCACCCUCAUUUCUCUGCCUUUAUUUCUUUUUGUAAAAAUGCAAAUAAAAUAUUUAUUUGAUAACA